GCCUGGGUGGCUCAGUCGGUUAAGCGGCUGACUUCGGCUCAGGUCACAAUCUCACAGUUUGUGGGUUUGAGUUCCACAUCGGGCU
rnacentral:tRNA from 1 species